AUCUAUGGCUAUACUAACCCAAAUGUGCCCUGUCUCUUCUGAUCUUGGAAACUAAGCAGGCUCGUGCCUGAUUAGUACUUGGUUGGGGAAAAAAGGGGACUAUAAAUA
rnacentral:rRNA from 1 species